UGUGUUAAGAAAACACUUCACAGAAUAGCAGAAAAAGAAGAAUGCAAAGACGGCUUUAAAAAAAAUGUGAACAGAGAGCAGCUCGGUCAAAAGAGCAUGAAAGAGAAAAGACAGGGAAAUAUGGUCAGAACAAAGAACAGGCAAAGCAGGUGAAAGCACAAGAGAAAUGGAGGCAGAGAGGAUUCGUCUCAAGGAACUAGAGAUAAAUUAGAGGAACAGAGAAAGCAACUUGAACAUUCUGAAAGUGCCUUGCAGACAGCAAAGCAAAAUGUACGGGGUCCAUCUGCCAGAAGGAUGACACUUCAAAAGGGCUAAAGCCUGUAUUCCAAAACAGGCAGCACAGUAUGUCACGACUACCAUGGACCCUUAUUGACAAAGCAGCUAUUUUCUGUCAGAAAAACAUCAGAACCACAGAGGGGAAGUUGGAAGUGGCAGUUGUUGAAGCAGUAGCCAAUGGCCUGUCAGAGUUCAGACAAUCUCCAACUAGAAAGGCUUUGGCUUGUUCACUGAAUAUGAUCUUGAAAUACAAACUACAGAGACAGUUUGCAAAAUGAUUUGGGGUCAGUAGAAAACUUUUAAAGGUAAGCUUAAAAAAACCAAGAGAUUGACAUAGAGUCUCAGCAGUGGAAAAAUGAUAUGAAGCAGUUUCAAAAUGCCAGAUAAGAAAAAAGGUGAGCAAGAAGACUGGGAAGGCAACCAGCUUUCUUGACCCCUCCAUUACACUAAAAAUGUCUCAAAGCCAACCAUGGUAUCUCAAUAGGAGCUGCUAUAUUUCACAUAUUUGGACCAAGAACCAUUAAGCCACAGAGAAGUGCAACACUUGUGGGUUGCCUCUACGAAUACUGUGAAAAUAUCAAAACUGAAAUUACAGACAGCGAAUGGCCACCUGGUGAGCAGACAUUCACCAACCAUAAAAGGGGUUAAGCAUUCAGCAGUGUCAUUAUGUGUGAGAACUACAGGGAAUGAUUCCCACUAUCCUAAGUGUAUCCGUGCAAGGAUUGUGGUGUCCAUACAGCAGAGCCAUGUAUUGUCCCUCUCCUAAAAAAGGACACCGAUAGAGAGUGGAAAAGAUAGAUUAUCAGACAAAAAGUAACAAAUGGAAACAAGAGUACACCAUAAAAAAGUGAUAUUUAGUAUGAAAGUGUAGAUCUAUGAAGAUGCUUAUUGAUUAAACUGAAACAAGAGGCUCAAGCUUUUUCAGAACACUUUUUUAUCAAGGACUGGCAGAACAACCAAUUAGCAAAAGUGAAAGCCAACCUCCCAGAGCACACAGUAUUGGGUAUCCUGAACUUUGCCAAGAACUACACUUGCAGGUACCAGCAAGAGGCCCAGGGGGCUUACUGGACCCACGAGAGUGCUACACAAACACCCAGUGAGGUCAUUGAAAGAAACCAAAGUCACCGUAGUCUGAAGCAAGUGCCUGGCACCAUGAAGUUGCUUUGCAUCAAAACAGUCAAGGGCGGGGUAGUGGCAACCAGAAACCUCAGCUGCUUCUGGGAUUCUUGUAUCCAUGGGAGUCAGUGAGAAUGGAUUAUGUGUUGAGUAAUGGAGAGGUAAAACGUCAGUCUGCAUGAACUUAGAAAGAGAUGCCAGAGACAAGAUGGAUGACAUCACACACACACAGUGCUGGAGGAGUAUUGAUAAUGGUGGUGUCAGAGAUCUAAUGAUGUCAUAAAGCCAGAGAACGGACUUCAUCUGUAAUGAGGCGAGGAUCAGCCUGACCACUCCCUGCAAAGGCAUCCUCCCUAAGGAUGUCCUUCAACAGUUGAAGACACUCCAGGAGGAUUGUGGCCUCAUCCUC